AAAAUUAAAAUAAACUUCCAAUCUGAUAACAGUUGGAGUCCAAUUAGCAUUUCCACAAUUAAUGCACCGAUUCCAGUCCCAGAAAAGCGGUUUCCAAAAUCCCACUUUCCUGUUUUCUUUCUAUGCAUAGACCCCCUAUCAAACAACCCUCAGUCAGGUUCCCUCAUUCUCCGUUGAUCCACCUCCAAUGUUCGUUGCUCAGGGACUAUUCCGAUCAGGUAUGCUCACGCUCCUUUCAUCGCUUCUCUAGCUAAGUUGUGACCGAUAAUAUUUGCAAAUUUGUAUGUAUGUUGAAAGGUUAUUUGGUGAAAAAAUUGUUUUUGCUGCUGAAUGUUCCAUAUUAUAUCCCCAAUCACUGAUUUGUUAGUCUUCUCUGAGUUACUUUUUUUUAUUACUAAUAUCGAGUCUCCUUCAAUGAUAACUGAUGCGAACCCCAUCUAUUUUCCCAUAAACAUUGCUUGGAGGCACACAAGGGCCUCUCCUGCAAAUGAAGAGGCCACCUCUCCGUGAGCCACUGUUUAGAAUGCGAGGACCUCCCCCGAAGCAUUUCUAACCACCACCCCUAAGACUGAUUUUACCCGAGAGUCAUCAAAAGCAGUGUCGAAAUUAAGUUUGACAACAGAACCAACUGGUAGCCACCAAACUAUGGACUCGUGCCUCGUGAUCGCCCACAAAGGGUAGCAAAAUACUCGACAUUAAAUGCUUGAACUACUCUUGAACACCCAGGGCAUUCUUCGAAGAUAUGGUCAAUGUUUUCAGUAACUGCUCCAUAUUUGGGACAUACUACCACCGAGAGCAAUCUCUUGCACCAAAGAUUAACAAAAUGAGGAUUAAAAUUUCAAGAAAAUUUCCAUAAUAGGAUUUUAAUUUUCCUUGGAAUGUGAAUAUUCCAUCAUUUUUUGUAAAAUAAAUUAGCCUCAGUUUGUAAAUAAUUAGGAAGAAAGCCAUGUAAAAGUUUAUAAGCACUUCGCACAGAGAAUUCUUUAGAGGCUUGCCCCUUCCAUACCAUGAAGUCCGCAUGAGGUUCCAUUGCUAAGGGAAUUCACACAAUUCUGUUUGCCUUUUCUCUAGAGAAGGUAGAAUAAAUAAAAUCAGACUUUCAUUCUCUCUUUUGUUCAUCAAUAAGAUCUGCCACUUUACUUAGCUCAA